rnacentral:lncRNA from 1 species
CAGUCUUGCAAACCACAAAUCCAAAGUUGCAAAUCCUGAUUAGGGACGGGGUGGAGAAGGGGGUAGAAGAAGUUGCAUGCAAUAACACUAGAGCAGAGAUUAGUGUCCUCCAUUGAAGAAUGGGAGGUUGAAGAGGCUGAGCCAUUGUGCACACAACAACUUCUAACUACGGAAAAAGAGAGAGAUAUCUGUUUGGGUAAAACAAAAUCUGAUCAGAUUGGGGAAAUUACUGGGUGCUGACUUCCAAGGCCAUGAACAAGAAGCUUUGGAACUUCUAUUACAGGUGGAUAGUGCCAGACAAGCCAGACAUCAGGAUGCUGCAGUGGUUUGUAAGAAGACAAGGUUCAAAGGUUCUAAAGAAUUGAAAAGUUUAGUAGCAUUUGAUGUGAAAUUCAAGAGUGGUGGGGGUAGAGAAAAGGGGAGAAAUUUCCUUACCAUUUCAUGAUGCAAUUCAAACUAGUAUCAUGGAAUGUAAGGGGUUUGAAUAAUAGAGAUAAGAGGAGGGUUAUCAAGAACAUUAUGGGGGACUGGAAAGCUGACAUCAUUUGUCUACAAGAAACCAAAUUACAGGGGGAUAUCACUGAGUUGGUAAGGCAGAUUUGGGGGGAUAGGUGGGUCAAAAUGGCAUGUUUGGAGUCGAGUGGGACAAGAGGAGGGAUAAUGAUGUUGUGGGAUAGUAGAAUAUGGAAGGGGGAGGUACUAGAGACAGGGACAUAUACUCUCACCUGUAAAUUUGAAUCACAAUUGCAGGGGAUAUAUACUCUCACCUGUAAAUUUGAAUCACAAUUGCAGGACUUUUCCUGCCACAUUACAGGAGUUUAUGCACCCAAUUGCUAUGUGGAAAGAAUACUAGUAUGGGAAGAAAUUGGCUCUAUUGGAG